rnacentral:rRNA from 1 species
UACGGGGGGAGCAAGCGUUGUUCGGAUUUACUGGGCGUAAAGGGCGCGUAGGCGGCCACCGCAAGUCAGUUGUGAAAUCUCCGAGCUUAACUCGGAAAGGUCAACUGAUACUGCGGGGCUAGAGUGCGGAAGGGGCAACUGGAAUUCUGGUGUAGCGGUGAAAUGCGUAGAUAUCAAGAGGAACACCUGCGGCGAAGGCGGGUUGCGUGGGCCGACACUGACGCUGAGACGCGAAAGCGUGGGGAGCGAACAGG